rnacentral:rRNA from 1 species
GACGAACGCUGGCGGCGUGCUUAACACAUGCAAGUCGAGCGGAAAGGCCUCCUCGGGGGUACUCGAGCGGCGAACGGGUGAGUAACACGUGAGUAAUCUGCCCUUCACUCUGGGAUAGCCACCGGAAACGGUGAUUAAUACCGGAUACGACACGUCCAGGCAUCUGGUGCGUGUGGAAACUUUUUGGGUGGGGGAUAUGCUCGCGGCCUAUCAGCUUGUUGGUGGGGUAAUGGCCUACCAAGGCUUCGACGGGUAGCCGGCCUGAGAGGGUGACCGGCCACACUGGGACUGAGACACGGCCCAGACUCCUACGGGAGGCAGCAGUGGGGAAUAUUGGACAAUGGGCGGAAGCCUGAUCCAGCAACGCCGCGUGAGGGAUGACGGCCUUCGGGUUGUAAACCUCUUUCAGCACCGACGAAGCGAUCCUUUGGGGAGUGACGGUAGGUGCAGAAGAAGGACCGGCCAACUACGUGCCAGCCGCCGCAGUAAAAC